rnacentral:rRNA from 1 species
AACGAACGCUGGCGGCAGGCUUAACACAUGCAAGCCGAGCGCGCCCUUCGGGGUGAGCGGCGGACGGGUGAGUAACGCGUGGGAACGUGCCCUUUGGUACGGAAUAGCCACGGGAAACUGGGAGUAAUAUCGUAUGUUGUCUUCGGACGAAAGAUUUAUCGCCAAGGGAUCGGCUCGCGUUGGAUUAGGUAGUUGGUGGGGUAACGGCCUACCAAGCCGACGGUCCAUAGCUGGUUUGAGAGGAUGAUCAGCCACACUGGGACUGAGACACGGCCCAGACUCCUACGGGAGGCAGCAGUGGGGAAUCUUAGACAAUGGGCGCAAGCCUGAUCUAGCCAUGCCGCGUGAGCGAUGAAGGCCUUAGGGUUGUAAAGCUCUUUCGUGGGGGAAGAUAAUGACUGUACCCCAAGAAGAAGCCCCGGCUAACUUCUUGCCAGCCGCCGCAGUAAAAC